AAGCUUGUGGAUGGUGGAGAAUCACAGAGAACCUUCAUCUACAUCAAAGAUGCUAUUGAAGCUGUCCUUUUAAUGAUUGAAAACCCAGAGAGAGCCAAUGGGCAUAUCUUCAAUGUAGGCAACCCAAACAAUGAAGUGACA